AAAGGGACUGGGCAUUUAUUGCAUGUGUGCAGCCGGUGUGUUUCAUUGGUGUCUUUAUCAUGAUCAGCAUCUUUUAAUGCAAUAACAUUGUGCUGGUCAAUUUAGGGGGCAGUGCCACCCCAAGGUCACCACGUGAACAUGUUUACUUAAGUCUGGUGUUUGUGCGUCACUGUCUGAACAGGCUUAUAAAGAAGAACUCUCAAAGGCGCUCAAAGGCACUCAAUUUUUCUCCUCUGAGACGAAAAAAACAGUAACAAACAGCCAAGAUGAGACUGUACCUCGCGGUUGCCGUGCUGCUGCUGGCUUUGGUCGCAUUUGCAGAGGCUCAGGAUGAUAACGUGCAGCAGAAGUUAAGCGAGUUGGGCGAACAGAUCACCGAGGUGGGAAAGAAAGCGUCUGAGAAAUUGAACGAGUUUGCUGGCAGGGCCAGGUAUGUGCGCGCGCGCGCGCGCACGCACGCACGCACGCACACACACACACACACACACACACACACACGCUCACUCAAGCGCAAUUUGCAGAUUUACGCAGAGUAUCACACGCAGUCUUUGGCUCUGUGUAACACCUGAUUAUUCUCCUCAGGGACUGGGGCAGUGACCUGUUUGAGAAAGUGAAGGCCGGGUGGGGACAACUUACGAAUUAGACGAGGAGACUUGCCCCUGUCACCAGCCUGAACCUGCCCUCACCUCUGACAUCUGACUUCUUCACCAUUCAUGGUGGGAGGCUGAUAUGUCAACAGGACACAUUGUUCUGCAGAUUGACUUGUCCAAAUGGUUACAUUGUCUCUCUGUAAGGAUUUUUUUGUUGUUGUUGAGUGUACUGUUAAUUUGUGUAAACUGUGAAAAAAGUGCAAUAAAGACAUAAAAAGUAUUUUUAAUUACAAAUUCUUUGUCAUCGUCUCUAUUAAUGAAUAAGAACAAUGUCUGUACUCGAUUACAGCAUUUUGAAAGUCUGUUAAAUAUGUUUGACAUAAAUAAAUGAAAUUUAGUUCUCUUUGACC
ensembl:lncRNA